UACGGAGGGUGCAAGCGUUAAUCGGAAUUACUGGGCGUAAAGCGCGCGUAGGUGGUUUGGUAAGCGAGAUGUGAAAGCUCCGGGCUUAACCUGGGAACGGCAUUUCGAACUGUCAGACUAGAGUGUGGGAGAGGGUAGUGGAAUUUCCUGUGUAGCGGUGAAAUGCGUAGAUAUAGGAAGGAACACCAGUGGCGAAGGCGGCUACCUGGACCAACACUGACGCUGAGGCGCGAAAGCGUGGGGAGCAAACAGG
rnacentral:rRNA from 1 species